UUUUGCCGUCGUGCUGCUAUCAUGGGUGGCAUUUCGAUUACUCAAAUGCCUGUGGUUGGUCUGCUUGUUGACAAGGAUGUUGGGAAUUAUAAGGGCGUUAAGCUGGUUACGGGACAA